rnacentral:tRNA from 1 species
GGCUUGUUGGUGUAGUGGCUGGACUCUUACUUGGGGUGUAAGAGGUCCUGAGUUCAAAUCACAGACAUGCCC